UAGGGAAUCUUCGGCAAUGGACGAAAGUCUGACCGAGCAACGCCGCGUGAGUGAAGAAGGUUUUCGGAUCGUAAAACUCUGUUGUUAGAGAAGAACAAGGACGUUAGUAACUGAACGUCCCCUGACGGUAUCUAACCAGAAAGCCACGGCUAACUACGUGCCAGCAGCCGCGGUAAUACGUAGGUGGCAAGCGUUGUCCGGCUUUAUUGGGCGUAAAGCGAGCGCAGGCGGUUUCUUAAGUCUGAUGUGAAAGACCCCGGCUCAACCGGAGAAGGGAAUUGGAAACUAGGAGACUUGAGUGCAGAAGGGGAAAGUGGAAUUCCAUGUGUAGCGGUGAAAUGCGUAGAUAUAUGGAGGAACACCAGUGGCGAAGGCGGCUCUCUGGUCUGUGACUGACGCUGAGGCUCGAAAGCGUGGGGAGCAAACAGG
rnacentral:rRNA from 1 species